rfam:Camelus ferus unplaced genomic scaffold scaffold1038, whole genome shotgun sequence.
GAGGGUGUAGAUCAGUGGUAGAGCACAUACUUAGCAUGCACGAGGUCCUGGGUUCAAUCCCCAGUAUCUCCA